GCUGCCUGGGUCGGCUGGGCCUGUGGGCCUGCGUCCGACAGCGCGCGGCCGUGCUUUCUAAGCGGGCUCGGCAGCACCAGACUUCACCGGCCCGGCGCGGGGCUCACAAGUGCUCGCACUCCCUGCGGCCGGCGCGCUGACCGGAGCCUCUGGGUCUCGCACGCAGCAGCUGCAGACGCUGCCCGGCGCGGUGGGGCUGUGAGCAAAACGGCCCGCCGGUGUGGUUGCCCAGACUGUGCUGGGCCCUCCUAGGUGGAUGGCCCUGCCCCAGCCUAACUUCUGUACCCCAGCAUAACCUCCAAAGUAACAGCCGUGCCCUGGGAGCCUGUUCAACACUGAACAUAUCCCACAAUAACACUGUUCCAGCGUCGCUGGUAAAAAGCAGAAAUGGCUUCGCUGGAGGCAUCGACAAAUCUAAUGCAGUAACCUCAUUUUACAGAAGAGAACUCUAAGAGGAUAACUAACUUGGCCAAGAUCACAUGAUGUUUCUGGAUGAGAUUAGCAUUCAAAUUCGUGGACUCAUUAAAGUAGAUGGCUCUCUCCAAUAUGGGUGGGCAUCAUCCAAUCUGUUGAAGGCGUGAAGAGAACAAGAGAAGGAGGAAGGAAGAAUUCACCUUUUUUCUUGCUGCCCACCUGCUUGGGCUGGGACAUUGCAUCUCACCUUCUCCAGCCUUUGGAUGAGGAUUUACACCCUGGUUCUCAGGCCUUCAGGCUCUAACUGGAGCUACACUAUCAACUUUCCUGGGCCUCCAGAUUGCAGAUGGUGGAUCACGGUACUUUUUAGCCUCCAUCAUAAUAUGAGAAAAAAGAGGCACAGUGAAGCUAAAUAUAUUGGCUAAAGAUCACAAAGCUAAGAAGAUUAUCAAGGUUAUCUGUGCUCAAUGUGUGCAUCUCAGAUCAGCAGCAUCAGCAUCACCUGGGAGCUUGUUAGAGCUGGAGACUCUCAGGCUCCACGGCAGACUUCCUGAAUCAGAAGCUACAAUUUAACAGGAUCCUCGGGUGAUCUGAAAAUGCAAUAAAGUUUGGGAAGCACUGCUGUUGGUCAUUAGACAAUCUAAUGAACUAAGACUUUUGCCGAGCAUCUGAGUUGAAAUUUUUCAAGAUGAAAAGUUGCUAAAGAAAGAGAAAGGGAAGCGGUUUGCUCCAGUAUUCCUCUUUCCACCUUCCCACUGACUGGGAAGCGGCGGUUAGCAGAGCCACAGUCUUGGAUUAGAGAUAAGAGGGACAUGUUGAGGAAGGUGGAGUCUCCCCCACAGCCCUGGACCAGUACGGAAUCCCUGUAUUCUAGGAUUUGGCAAGCUGUCCACUGAAACAUUAUUUUUCCCAGCCUUCUUUGCAGAGGUGGGGAAACUGAGGCAAAGGGUGUUUAAAUGGUCUGCCCAAAGUCACACAGCUAAGAAGCAGUGAUGGGAUAUGAAGUCAAACAGUCUUAAAAGCAAGCUAUCCUGUUGCAAAAUAGAAUGUAGACACGAUGGUUGGAGUUCCAGAAGUUGUCUUGGACGAUGAGGUAGCUUUGAGGAUAGAAGCCUUUGGCUAAGGAAGGUGGAGCACAAAGACAGAAGACGAAGAGCAUUCCUGAGGACUGUGGAGUUCCAUGCCAGCCUUGCAUUGUCUAUCUUGUUACUUCUGUGGGAGAAAAAAUACAGUAAACCUCUAUCUUGCUUAAGCUC
rnacentral:lncRNA from 1 species